rnacentral:rRNA from 1 species
CAGCAGCCGCGGGAAUACGAAGGGGGCUAGCGUUGCUCGGAAUCACUGGGCGUAAAGGGUGCGUAGGCGGGUCUUUAAGUCAGGGGUGAAAUCCUGGAGCUCAACUCCAGAACUGCCUUUGAUACUGAAGAUCUUGAGUUCGGGAGAGGUGAGUGGAACUGCGAGUGUAGAGGUGAAAUUCGUAGAUAUUCGCAAGAACACCAGUGGCGAAGGCAGCCCCCUGGGCCAAUACUGACGCUCAUGCACGAAAGCGUGGGGAGCAAACAGGAUUAGAUACCCCUGAGUCCCUGUCUCUUAUACC